AUUGAACGCUGGCGGCAUGCUUUACACAUGCAAGUCGAACGGCAGCACAGGGAGCUUGCUCCUGGGUGGCGAGUGGCGAACGGGUGAGUAAUGUAUCGGAACGUGCCUGGUAGUGGGGGAUAACUACUCGAAAGAGUGGCUAAUACCGCAUGAGAUCUUUGGAUGAAAGCGGGGGACCUUCGGGCCUCGUGCUACUGGAGCGGCCGAUAUCAGAUUAGGUUGUUGGUGGGGUAAAGGCCUACCAAGCCUGCAAUCUGUAGCUGGUCUGAGAGGACGACCAGCCACACUGGGACUGAGACACGGCCCAGACUCCUACGGGAGGCAGCAGUGGGGAAUUUUGGACAAUGGGCGCAAGCCUGAUCCAGCAAUGCCGCGUGCAGGACGAAGGCCUUCGGGUUGUAAACUGCUUUUGUACAGAACGAAAAGUCUCUGGCUAAUAUCUAGAGAUCAUGACGGUACUGUAAGAAUAAGCACCGGCUAACUACGUG
rnacentral:rRNA from 1 species